UACGGGGGGAGCAAGCGUUGUUCGGAUUUACUGGGCGUAAAGCGUGCGCAGGUGGUUUUGUAAGUCAGAUGUGAAAUCCCCGGGCUUAACCUGGGAACUGCGUUUGAAACUACAAGGCUAGAGUGUGGCAGAGGGGGGUGGAAUUCCGCGUGUAGCAGUGAAAUGCGUAGAUAUGUGGAGGAACACCGAUGGCGAAGGCAGCCCCCUGGGUCAACACUGACGCUCAGGCACGAAAGCAUGGGGAGCAAACAGG
rnacentral:rRNA from 1 species